rnacentral:rRNA from 1 species
AGAACGAACGCUGGCGGCAUGCCUAACACAUGCAAGUCGAACGCUUCCGGGGCUUCGGUCGCGGAGGAGUGGCGCACGGGUGAGUAGCGCGUGGGAACCUGCCCUGUUGUGGGGGAUAACCGAGGGAAACUUCGGCUAAUACCGCAUACGCCCCGGGACUUGGUCUUCGGAUUAGGUCUGGGGGGAAAGAUUGAUCGCAGCAGGAGGGGCCCGCGUCGGAUUAGCUGGUUGGUGGGGUAACGGCUCACCAAGGCAGUGAUCCGUAGCUGGUCUGAGAGGAUGAUCAGCCACACUGGGACUGAGACACGGCCCAGACUCCUACGGGAGGCAGCAGUGGGGGAAUAUUGGACAAUGGGCGCAAGCCUGAUCCAGCAAUGCCGCGUGAGUGAUGAAGGCCUUAGGGUUGUAAAGCUCUUUCGCCCGCGACGAUGAUGACGGUAGCGGGAGAAGAAGCCCGGCUAACUCGCGCCAGCAGCCGCGGU